rnacentral:rRNA from 1 species
CCUACGGGUGGCAGCAGUGGGGGAUAUUGCACAAUGGGGGGAACCCUGAUGCAGCGACGCCGCGUGGGUGAAGGAGCGUUUCGGCGCGUAAAGCCCUAUCGGCAGGGAAGAAGAUGACGGUACCUGACCAAGAAGCCCCGGCUAACUACGUGCCAGCAGCCGCGGUAAUACGAAGGGGGAGAGCGUUAUCUGGAUUUAAUGGGUGUAAAGGGGUCGCAGACGGCAAUGCAAGCCAGGAGGGAAAGCCCGGGGCCAAACCCCGGGACUGCUCUUGAAACUGGAUGGCUGGAGUACAGGUGGGGCAGGUGGAAGUCCUAGUGUAGCGGUGAAAUGCGUAGAUAUUAGGAGGAACACCAGUGGCGAAGGCGGCCUGCUGGACUGUAACUGACGUUGAGGCCCGAAGGCGUGGGGAGCAAACAGGAUUAGAUACCCGUGUAGUC